GACGAACGCUGGCGGCGUGCUUAACACAUGCAAGUCGAACGGUAAGGCUCCAGCUUGCUGGGGUACACGAGUGGCGAACGGGUGAGUAACACGUGGGUGACCUGCCCUGCACUUCGGGAUAAGCCUGGGAAACUGGGUCUAAUACCGGAUAGGACCGCACCGUGAGGGUGUGGUGGAAAGUUUUUUCGGUGUGGGAUGGGCCCGCGGCCUAUCAGCUUGUUGGUGGGGUAAUGGCCUACCAAGGCGGCGACGGGUAGCCGGCCUGAGAGGGUGGACGGCCAAAUGGGGGUGGGGCACCGGCCCAAACCCCAACGGGGGGCAGAGGGGGGGAAUUUUCCAAAAGGGGGGGAAGCCGGAGGGAGGGCCGCCGGGGGGGGGAAGAGGGCCUUCGGGUGUAAAACUCCUUUCCCCAUCGACGAAGGGUUUCUGACGGUAGAGGGAGAAGAAGCACCGGCUAACUACGU
rnacentral:rRNA from 1 species